rnacentral:rRNA from 1 species
UACGAACUGUGCAAACGUUAUUCGGAAUCACUGGGCUUACAGGGUGCGUAGGCGGCUUGUUAAGUAGGGUGUGAAAGCCCCCGGCUCAACCGGGGAAUUGCGCUCUAAACUGGCGAGCUGGAGUGAGAUAGGGGUGUGUGGAACUUCCGGUGGAGCGGUGAAAUGUGUUGAUAUCGGAAGGAACGCCGGUAGCGAAAGCGACACACUGGGUCUUUACUGACGCUGAGGCACGAAAGCCAGGGGAGCAAACAGG